rnacentral:rRNA from 1 species
CCAGACUCCUACGGGAGGCAGCAGUGGGGGAUAUUGCACAAUGGAGGAAACUCUGAUGCAGCGACGCCGCGUGAGGGAAGACGGUCUUCGGAUUGUAAACCUCUGUCUUUGGGGAAGAAAAUGACGGUACCCAAAGAGGAAGCUCCGGCUAACUACGUGCCAGCAGCCGCGGUAAUACGUAUGGAGCAAGCGUUAUCCGGAUUUACUGGGUGUAAAGGGAGCGUAGGCGGCCUGCCAAGUCUGAUGUGAAAUACCGCGGCUCAACCCCGGAGCUGCAUUGGAAACUGGCAGGCUGGAGUGUCGGAGAGGCAGGCGGAAUUCCUAGUGUAGCGGUGAAAUGCGUAGAUAUUACGAGGAACACCAGUGGCGAAGGCGG